UACAGAGGUGGCAAGCGUUGUUCGGAAUUACUGGGCGUAAAGGGCGCGUAGGCGGCUUGUUCAGUCCCGUGUGAAAUCCCUCGGCUCAACUGAGGAACUGCACGGGAAACUGCCUGGCUUGAGUUCGGGAGAGGGAAGCGGAAUUCCGGGUGUAGCGGUGAAAUGCGUAGAUAUCCGGAGGAACACCGGUGGCGAAGGCGGCUUCCUGGACCGACACUGACGCUGAGGCGCGAAAGCUAGGGGAGCAAACGGG
rnacentral:rRNA from 1 species